rnacentral:lncRNA from 1 species
AUAUAUUUAUCUUUAUUUUCUAUUAAAUUGUUCUUAGCAAAUAGAACUGAAAUAAUUAACAUCUAAGAACUAAUAAAGUUAUUAAAUUUAUUAUUUUUAACAAAAGUAACUAAAAUAAUCUAAUUUUAAAAAAUCAAAAGCUUAAGAGGUGUAAAUAAAAAAAAGCAGAAGUUGAGGGAUGAAGUUCAAAAUUAUCUGUAGAUGAGAGGGUCUUUGUGCACUUUUUACUCUCUAAAUCUCGACCCAAAAAAGGUCUCAGGAUUUCCUACUCUUUAUUAGAGUAAAGAGUUUUUCUUUUUUAAAAAAAUUUUUAGUAAUGAAAAAAAGGGAGGGUGAAAAGACUAUUGAAGAAACAUAAGACUCUAGACGAUAGAGUGGCAAAAUUAUAACCAAAAAAAAUUGUAGAGCUGGCGUUGCUCUUCUUUUCAACCGCUUGCAUGGUGGCACCAACCGUGUCAGGGUAGCUCCGUGGACGUCUUCCAUUGAAUUACUUGAGUUGUACGCAUCGAUCCCCUUAGAUAGCACGCUGCCCGUUUCAUUUAUUUUAUUUAGAAAUAAAUUUAGCUAGAAAUAUGAAUCAAUUAGGAUUCGAACUUGGGUCUCGAAUACCAACCACCAAAUCCUUUGCCACUUGCUCUAGGGACGAUCGGUGGGUGUAGACAAUUUUGAUCCCCUAAAAUAUUACCUUUUUAAGAGUUUGAGGUCUCCAACUUUAUUAAACAUAGAGCAAAAGGCUUGAUGGUUGGUACCCGAGGUCCCAAGUUCAAAUCCUAAUUGAUUGACAUUUCUAGCUAAAUUUAUUUCUAAAUGAAAUAAACGAAACAGAUAGCGUGCUACCUAUCUCUCAAAAAAAUAAAAAAAAACUUUAUUAAACAUAAAAGCUCCAAGACGAAAAUGAAAUUGAACGGCAAGUCCAGGGACCGAGGGUGCAAUUUUCCCUUUGAAAUAUAAUCGCCUCAAAACCUACACAACCAUGAUGAAUACAUUUCUAUAAAAGUAAGUACGACGAUUCGCUAAUUUUCAAAAUUUAUGAAAUUUGCAUUUUAAGGAUUCAUCUAUAUUAACUUCAAUUUUUUUUCAUCAUAUUGAUUAAUUUUUUUCAUCAUAAAAAUAACUUGAUAGACCGAAACUCUCCAUCCUUUUUUUUUUUUUUUUUUUUUUUUUUUUUUUUUUUUUUUUUUUUUUUUGAAAAGGUAAUACGCUACCGCUUCAUUCAUUAGAAUAAUAAAUUAAACUAUAUGGAUGAGACAGCACGACCUCGAAAGGGGUGAAAAAAAAAAUUAAAAAACAAUCCUCAAAAUGAUUGUUCCCACUGGUUCCUCAAUUGAUUGAUCGAAAUACAAUAACUACAAAAUCCGUGCACAAUUUGGAUCCACGUAGUCCACAAAAGAAAAACAAACAAACAAAUUGUCUUAAAAUAACAAAAAGAUAAGAAUGUGCAACACUUAUUUGAACUAUGAAAUAUUUUGAGUUUGCUGCUCAGCAUUUCAAAUUUUUGAUUUUACUAUUAAUUUUUCAAUUUGUUUGAUUUGAGUCAGCCAAUAAUAUUUCGACUUUAAAAUCUUGAAUGCAUUAUUUAUUUUUAUAGAUUUAGUUAGUAUAUUUUAUACAGUUUUUCUAACUAUAGAUUUAUCAAAAUAAAUAAUUAGAUUAAAUUUUAAAGUCAAAGUAUCGUUAACCGAUUCAAAUUAAACAAAUUGGAGGGUUGGAUAGUAAAACUAAAAUUUUGAAAGAUUGAAUUGUCUGGCUCAAAAUAAUUCAUAAUUUAGAUAAAUUUAGCACAUUUUUACCUAACAAAAAUCACCUACAGAGAGUAGGGAUUCGGAAGUCAAAAUAUAAAGUGUGGCCUCGAAGCUUGGGUAAAGGUUUGGAAGCCAAAAGAGGGGUUUGACCUCGCCUAGUGUGUUUUAUGAUGGAGUCAUCCAGCUCAGAGCAUGAAAGAGCUGUUCUGCUGAGGGUUUACAACCAAAACAAACCACCAGUAUUAAAAGUUUCGAUGGUUUUACUGAAACAUCAACAACUUAAGCCUCGAUAACCUACCGUCUGCUAAGAUUUUUCUUCGUCCACUUUCUCCGCCUAGUAUCAUAGGAAAUUUGUUCUUUUCUGAAGUCAAAAAAGGCUCUCCCACUGCGGAGCGGCUUUCUAGUGAAGUCACUCAUUCAUCAUAGGCCUCUCAAAGUUGGAGCAGCUUCGAAAAAUAAUAAAUGCUAAGUCUAAAAUUAAAACAGAGUUAUAAUUCUAGAACGUACUCUUUAUCCAAAGAUAUUAAGGAUUUAUUAACAUCUUCAUAAAUUUCUUUUAAAAGAAUAAUACACGAUGAGUAAAAAAAACAUUAACCUUUAGAUAAAAAUAUUGUAGGAUUGUAAUCCGUUUUAAAUUAUAAAUCUAGCGUUGCUCUUGAAAAGUACAGCAUGCAUGGUUCUAACAUGUAUACCUUAGAAUGCCGCUUGGAUCGAUGGGCAACACUGUACAAUCUUACAAAAAACCUGACAACCUAACCCAAUGCAAUCGUAUAUCGGAUUGGGCUUUCCUCAAUCUUAACCCACCAGAAACUUAGAUUAGCCUGAAAAGGAUUCGGCUUGCUUGGGUAAUUUGGCUCUAGUCAAGCUGGGUUAGGUCGAUCGAGUUGCUCGGUUCAAAUCUAUAAAUGUUAGUUGAUAUCAUAUAAAUUCAAGAAGUUGGGGAACCCAGUUCCCUUUUCUUUGCAAAGAGCAUUAGCAGGGCUGGGAGGGGAUUGAGCUCCCCGAAGAAAAACUCUUCGGUGAGCAAUCAGUUGUUCUGAAUAGAAUUGUUGAUCUUAUCAUAUAUGUUUGCAUGUUGUACCAAAAUACAUUUUGCACGCAUGCGGUACAACAUAGCUGAAUAUUAAUUAUUGAGCCUUGCUAAGGCGCCACAAUUCAAAACGGAACGUAAUCCUACAACACUCCCAUCUGAUGGCUAUUCUAUUUUCACUAAUCUUACUAUUUUCUUUUACUUUUAGAAACCAUAAAAAAAUAGAUAAAUUCUAGAACCUUAGAUGAUGGGUUAUGAAAAUUACAAUUCUUUUUUGAUUAUAGACUUAGCAUGUCACUUAAUUGUUCUCUUAAUUGUUUCUAUCAUUCCAAUUAAACAGGUAUGACGUGACCAUUUCUACGUCGGAUGACAAAUCUGGUGCAGCCACCAUUUACAGCCCAGAAGUACACCGUGAGAUGCCUGGUGUGUUGGUAAACUUUAAAAUUAUCUUUUAAAAAUUUAUUUAUUUAUUCAUUUAUUUGUUUAUUUAUUUAUAUAUUUUUAAUUAUUCAUUUAAUAGGGAAAGAAAAAAGUAAGAGCAUGGGCAUUUUCCGAUUUCCAUUUUCCUUGGGCACGUGGAAACGUGGGGUCGAACGUACAACGUCGUUGAGAACGUCCCAACGUAACUCCCACUCCCCUGUUUACAUAUUCACAUUGUUUUUAUUUUUCAUGAGACAUACAUGAACAUUAUAGAGAAAAAAACAUCAAAAAAAAAUAAAUUAUUUAAGUUUUAUUUUUAUUUUUUCUAUUUCGUUUUAUUCGUCAGGUGUUGAAAGAAUUUUUGUCAAACUUUGUCACGAUCAUGCUCGCAAGAAGGAAACUUUUGAUUGUAUCUUAGAGCGAUAUUUUCAAUUAAUCUUGCACGAAGAACAGAAAUACGUUUUAGAGCGCGCGGUGCUAAACAUGUUUCCAGAUCAAUCAAAUUUUUUGUUUUCUUCUUUUACGAAUUCUAAAAUUUUAGCGCUCACUUGUGAGUUGAUUUAUUAAUUUUUAUCACAAAUUAGUUAUAUAAUUUAAUCAUAAUCAAAUUUUUUUGAUAUAAUUUUUUCUAACAAUCUAAGACGUAUUUCUAAAACUGAUUGUGAUUAAAAUUCUAAUGGCUGCUACAGGACUAUUGUGUUAUUAGGAGCACAACAGUCCUUGUGCUCACAAUUUAUAACCAACAGAACCAAAUUUUAAUUCGUACUUUAUUAAUUGCUUCAAUUAGUUUUAUAUGUUUACUUGCAGUAACUUAUUUGAUGUAAUAUUUUACUCGAAAACACCUAAUUGAAAUAAAAAAUUAUAAAUAGUUUAGGCCAUUUGUUUGCUACUAAACUAACUGUCAUAAGAAAUUAAUAUUUAAAACUUGAACACUUAAAAUAUUUUAAUUGACUAGGAUGGAAACUUUAAACAUAUUAUUUUUCUAAGAAGGUUCCUUUGAACCUUUCUUGCGGCCCAUUCUAAUUAUUCUUAAUUUUUUCAUUCCCUCAACUAGAUUUUAUAAUAGCUCUUCAUUACUUUUUAGAGGAAUGUACACCUUCAUCAUACAAGGAAGUUAUAAGUUUUCUGAAACUUUUCAUAGAAAGAGACUAUUAGCAGUGAGAUCGAGUCGAUUAUUACUCAUACCACUUGAAUUCUUAUUAAUCUACCCCCUGAAAACAAACCUCUAGAAUGUAAGUAGAUUUUUAGAAAAAAGUUUAGAACUGACAAAUCGGUAGAGAAACGCAAGGCCUGACUUAUUACUCAAGGUUUUGGGCAAAAAGCUGAUAUUAACUAUUUUUGACACAUAUGUGCAUAUUGCUCACAUAGCUACUAUUCUGAGUCUUCUUACAUUCGCAUCUAUUUAUAAACUUUUGAUUCACUAAAUAGAUGUCAAGAUCACUUUCCUUUAUGAUGAUUUUGAAGAAAAAUUCUAUAUGACUUAAUUUGAAGAUUUUUUAUGCCUUCUCAAAAAAAAAAAAAAAAAAGUGUGCAAAUUAGUUCGCUCUUUAUAUGAAUUUGAGCAAGUGCCAAAAUAGUGGCACGUGACAUUCGACAAUAUUAUUGCAUAAUAUGGAUUUCUGACCAACAAGUUUGAUAAUUGUCUCUAUUUUAAGAUAUUUGAUGUUCGUUGUGUUAUUUUUUGUCUCUAUGUUAAUGAUAUUAUGAUCCUUGCAUCUAAUCUUGAUUUGAUUAAUCAAGUUAAGUCUUCUUAUCGGACAAUUUUGAUACAAAGGAUCUCAAUGAGGCAGAUGUAAUCUUAGGAAUGAAAAUUCUUAAAUCAUCUAAUUCUUUUCUUCUAAUUUAAUCUCAUUAUAUUCAAAUGAUUCUUGAUAAAUUUGGGUAUCGAGAUUUCUCUUUUGUUUCUACUUCAUUUGAUUCUAGUGCUCAACUUAUGAAGAACACUGAUAAUUCUGUGAAUCGGAAAAGAUAUAUCCAAAUUAUUAGGUCUUUAAUGUAUCUAACCAGUAGGACUAAACUUACAAUUGCCUAUGUCAUAUCGAAAUUGAGUAGAUAUACUAGUAACCCUAAUAUAAUUCAUUGAAUUGCUUUAAAGAGAGAGUAUUUUAUUACCUUGAAGGUACUCUAUCAUAUUCUUUCAGAUUUGUUGGCUAUAUUGGUGUAAUUGAGGGAUACAGUGAUUCCAAUUGAAUUUCUGAUUCUUUGAAUAUUGAAUCCACUUCUGCUUAUAUUUUUAUUCUUAGUGAUAGUGCAAUUUCUAAGCAAUCCAUCAAACAGAGUAUAAUAACUAGAAGCACAAUGGAGGUCGAGUUAGUUGUCCUUGACACUAAUUGUCUUGAAGCCAAGUAGGUAAAAAACCUCUUGUCAUCGAUUCUUUUUAUUUCCUUUCCUAUUCUACUUAUUUUUAUUCAGUGCAACUUUCGAGUUGCAAUAAAAAAAGAUUAGUGAAUUUUAAAGCUCACAGAUAUAUUAAGUUGAGAGAAAAGUCUAUUAAAUUUUUUUCAUCUUAUGAAAUUAUACUUUGAAUUUUAUUAGAUUUGAGCAGAGUCUUGUAGAUUACUUGAUGAAAGAUUUGAGUAGGACUAAAGUCCUAAAGUCAUCGAGGGGAUGGAACUUUACUCAUAAAGGACUUUCCUAUAGUGAAAAUCUGACAUUUUUAAUAGGUUUAAUGUGGUAAAAAUAACUGUCAAAUUGGCCAAAGAGGACUUUCUCCGGUUUAUAUUGAAGAGCUUUAACUCCAAUUCCAUCCUAAUGAUAAAUAGCAUUCUAUAUAGUGGUUGAGAACUCUUAAUGAAAUUUAAGACGGUAUAAGAUGUGACUCAACAUACAUCUCUAAAAGAGACUACUUAUAUAUGAAUAUCCGUAUAUAAUUGCGACUAUGAGACAUGGGUUAUUUAUAAAAACUCUUAUAAAAAAAUUAAGGUGUUGUACAUGGCCAUUAACGUAUAGGCUCGUGACGAAGAAUUUUGUACUGUGUGUAUAAUGUUGAAGUUAGGGUAAAAAAAACCGUAGUUCAAGACCUAACUUACUUCGCUUCCUUAUGAUGAUAAAAAUUGCUUACACUAUGGAGUUAAGUCUCUUAAGAACAUUUUGCCGAUUGCAUAGUAUAAAAAUCGAUCAUUUUACUUCUUUUAUUUAUUGAGUUUAGUUUUUAUUUUCAAAAUUUUGAAUGUUAUAGUGGAUUGUUGAAAAAAUUCAAUUUUUUUUUUAAAUUUUAUUAGUUUAUUUAUUUAUUUUUAAUUAUUCAUUUAAUAGGGGAAAAAACGUCUGCGAGAGUAUGGACAUUUUUCAAUUUGCACUUUCCACGCGGACGUGGAGUAGAACGUUGAGAACAUCUCAACGUUGGACUCUCACUGUUUAUAAGAUAAAUAUGAACGUUGUAGAGGGAAAAAAAAAGAUGUUUUAAGUUUUAUUGUUAUUUUUUUUUCAAAUUAUUUUUAUUUUGCUUGAUCUUUUUAUCGUUGGAUGCUAAAAAAAUUUCUGUCAAUCUCUGCCAUAAUCGAGCUCGCAAGAGAAAAAAUUUUGUUUGUAUUUUGAGACGAUGUUUUUGUUUAAUUUUGCGCGAAGGACGACAAUACAUUUUAGGACGGUAUUACGCAUGCUUUCAGAUCAAUUAAAUUUUUGAUUUUUUUCUUCUCCGAUUCUUAAUUCUUUAGUGCCAACUUGUGAGCUUAUUUAUUAAUUAUUUUUUUUCAUCAAACUAGUUAGAUAAUUUAAUCACAAUCAAAUUUUUUUAUAUAAUUUUUAGUUACAUAAUUUAAUCACGAUCAAAUUUUUUUUUUUUUUUUUUUUUUUAACACCGCGUGCCUCUUCAUGCAUGAAGCCGAACUUGUGGGCACUGAAGUGCCCGAGAGGGGGAUUCUCAACCUGUUGAGAGAGCAGGGGACUCAACUCCAGGCGAUCGCCAUCGUCGGCUCCGCCGGCUCGGGCAAAAGCACUCUCGGCAUGCGCGCGUUCCAAAGCGCCGAAACGGCUGAAAGCUUCCAGUGCCGGGCUUCAACCACCGUAUCUCAGACGUUCAAUAUAAAAACGAUUCUCUGCGAUCUCACAGAGCAGGUUGGACCUCCCUUACCUAAAAAGGAUUUGGAGACUAAGGCGCUUGAGGACAAACUGAGAAGUAACUUGAAAGAUAAGAAGUAUCUCAUCGUUCUUGACGAUAUAUGGUCCAUAUCGGCAUGGAAAAGCAUUCAAGCUGCCUUACCCGACAACAACAAGGGUAGCCGAAUAAUAGUAACCACGCGAAAUAAAGAUGUAGCCAACAGUUGCUGCUCUCCCUAUCCCGGCUCCAAUAUCUACGAGAUUAAACCUCUAUCAGAGGAUGAUUGUCGGGAGCUCUUCUUCCGGUUAGUAUUUCGCCCAAAUGGCACUUGUCCUCCAGAAUUAAAACGCAUUUCCAACGACAUCAUACGAAAAUGCAGGGGACUGCCCCUAGCGAUAGUCAGUAUUGCCAGUCUUCUGGCUAGUAAGCCGAGUAAAACUAGGGACGAAUGGCAAAAGAUUUUGGACAGGUUCGGUUCCGAACUCGAAACAAAUCCUAUGUUGGAGAGUAUGAGGCACAUACUGACCCUCAGCUACAACGACUUACCCUACCAUCUCAAGGCAUGCGCCUUGUACUUCGGUGUCUUCCCGGGGGCUGGUAGUAUUAGAAGGAAAAGAAUGGUGAGACGAUGGAUUGCUGAAGGCUUUGUAAGCGAAAUGGUCGGACAGAGUGUAGAGGAUGUCGCGGAGGGCUACUUUGAUGAGCUUGUCGGGCGCAGCAUUAUCCAGCCCGUCGAGAUCAGUCUCGACAGCAAGGUGAAAAGCUAUGCGGUCCAUGCCAUGAUGCUUGAGGUCAUUGUCUCCCUGUCGAUCGAGGAGAAUUUUGUGACUAUAUUCGGCGGCCAAUAUAUGACGAUGAUGCGGCACAACAAGGCGCGUAGGCUGUCCCUCCUUCCAGGCAGUGAUGAUCCGUCGAUGGUCAAUACAAGGAGCUUAUCUCAUGUCCGUUCGCUGACGAUGUUCAGCGACUCCAAACCGCCACGUGUGAUCCCUCCUCUCUUGCGGCUCCUAAGGGUGUUGGAUCUGGAAGACUGCCUAUGUAUCAAAGACGCCCAUCUGAAGAAUGUCUAUAAAUUAUAUCAUCUCAAGUACUUGGGUCUUCGGAACACCGGCGUUUCGAAACUCCCGAAACAAAUAGGGGAGCUAGAGUUCUUGGAGACGCUGGACAUACGGCGCACGGCCAUAGGAGACCUACCGGCCGGAGUUGUCUACCUCCGGUCUCUGAAGCAUAUUCUUGCGGGAUCUACGAGUAGCUUUCUCUACGGCGAUGGCCAGUCGGACUGGUGCAAACCCGUGCGCUUGCCUUGCGGAGUUGGUGACAUGACAUCGCUGCAAACGCUAGCCUAUGUUGAAACCAAAGAGAACGCUGAUAUAGGCCGCCUGACCCAGCUAAGGAAGCUGGGCAUCGUCUCCCAGCGCGAAGAAGGAUGGGAAGAUUUAAACAAGUCUCUUCAAAACUUGAGCAGCUGCCUCCGUUCUCUUGUGUUGCACAAUGUAGGAAGUAAGCCAUCACUGGAGUCCUUGAAAUCGAUAUCAGCAUCAGCCCCUUCUUCCCUCCAGAGCAUUGAUCUCAACGGCCGGCUAGGAAAAUUGCCUCCAUGGAUCAGCAAGCUAGAGAUGCUCUCCGAAGUAACUCUUCGCAACACUCGCUUAGGCAAAGACGCAAUAGGAGAGCUCGGAAAGCUUCAGAGCCUCCUAUAUCUCAGGCUCUAUGAUGGUUCGUAUAACGAAAGAAAUCUGGGAAUUUCUGAGGGAGCUUUCCCAUCCCUCAAGUUGCUGAAAGUUGUUGACUUGGUGACGAUUAAGAUGGUCAAGUUCAAUGAAGGAGCGGCGCACAAGCUCGAAAAGCUUAUCUUAUGUUUGAAGGGGACGGACAAACAGGAGGUGGACAUACAGGGGAUGGAGUAUCUCGGCAGCCUCAAAGAAGUUGAACUGCUUGGAUUCGAUGGUCCGGUAGAUAAUGUGCUUGCGAAACGAGUUACGGAAGCAGCCGGAAAGCAUCCAAGCCAUCCCAAUAUUAAGAUGCCCCGCAGAGGUGGAACCAAGGACGACCAAGUAGUCAUACCGGUAACUGAGGCAAUUGAAAUCGAUAGAAUAUAAUAAAAAGGAUACUCGAGGAUCCGAUCUUGUUUACUUUUUCCGGUGUCUGUCGGUCUAAAUAAAUAAAGGAUGCAAAAAAGGUUUGAAGAAAACAAAAAUUAAAGAGCAAAAAUAACAAGAGGAUUAACUGCGAAAAAAAAGGAGUUGUGGCAUAGCGUAUCUUUAAUUACAUCGGUGCUUUUUUUUUUUUUUUUUUUUUUUUUCUGUGUGUGUGUGUGUUGCUUUGGAGUACUCCAAAGGUUGUUAUUAUUUAUUUAUUUAUUUAUUUCAUUUUCUGCAAGGAUUUUUCCGUUAACUUCAUUAGAACUUGGGCUGAAUCGACCUUAAUUCUCUUGUACUACGUUAAUAUUUUAUUAAGUGCAAUCUAAAACUCGGAUCGAAACUCAGAUUUUAAUGAUUUUUCGAGUUGAAUCUGGCACAAGCAUGAUUCAGACAUACCAUUAUCUAUAUCUAUAUCUAUAUUACUUCUAUAUUACUUAUAAAAAUAGGAGUUUUAUAAAAAAUGUGUCGAUCAAUUUUUUUCUAUUAUAUCCCUAAAUUUUUUUUCUGAAUUAUCCUCAUUAACUAUAUCCAUACACCAUCUCUCUCAAUUCUUCUGAACGGUCUUUUUUUUUUUAUAUAUAAUUACCCCACAAUCUCUAUAACUUCCUCCAAUUCCGAUUUUUAUUUCCACAAACAAUCUCUCUCAAUUCUUUUCAAUAUCCAUAACUUUCUCCGAUUUUUUUUUAAUUACUCCUCAAUUCUUAUUCAACACUGUGAUCUCUGACAAUUCUUUUCAAUAUCCAUCAACUUCCUCCGAUUUUAUUUCCCCACACGAUAUCUUUCACUGCAAUCCAAUUUUCACACUCUAAUGGCUAUGAUGACUAAUAGGAUUAAUUUUAUUUAUACAUUUUCUCCAAUCUUAAAUUAUAUGGAUACUUGCCUUCUGCCAACCUCAAAUUACAAAGAUACUUGUUUAAAUGUGUCUGUGACGCCCAACUUUUUAAAAGAUCAUCUAUUCUAGAACUAUUGUAGCUCUAUCACGCUCAACUCCUAUUAACCUUGUAGGCUUAACCACCAUCCAAAAUAGUAUAGCCGGAUUAAGAGUGUCACAUUUUUUUCUCUUUAAAUUCUAAUGUUCUCAUCAAAUCUAAGCACACUCACAAGUACCAAAUAGUGUAAGAUUCAUUGUCAUUCAGAUUCUAACUUAACAUGUCAUUUUCAGACCCUAACUUUAACUUGUGAUUUAGAUCUGACUAAAUCGAGAUUCAUCUCACAUUUUCGACUAGUGAUUAGCUCUAAUAUCUAUACUCUUAUAUGAAUUCCCAAUAUGAAAUGAUGACGUGGCAAACUCUCAUUUUUUUAAUUUACGUUUCAUCUCCACUUCUAAAUACUCAACCCUUCACCUCUCCACAUUUAAUUAUAUUCAUCAUAUUCCACCAAUUAGUGAGCUUAAUUUGUAACUCCAAUCCACUCCCCUCCACCAUCAAUCCCCCCACCCCCUCUUUUGCAUGAUAUGUUAUUAUCCCCAAUAUGAAAUAAUGACUUGGCAAGCUCUCUUUUUUUUAAUUUACGUUUCAUCUCCACUUCUAAAUGCUCAACCCUUCACCUCUCCACAUUUAAUUACAUGCUUCAUAUUCAACCAAUUAGUGAGCUUAAUUUGUAACUCCAAUCCACUCCCCUCCACCAUUAAUCCCCCCACCUUCUCUUUUUUGCAUGACAUGUUAUUUUUCAUGCAAAAAAGAAGAUUAUCAUCUAAUCUCUCACCUCACACUCAUCUCAUUCUCUCUAUCUCAUUGUGUUAACAAAGAUUAUGAGGAUAAUGAAGAAGAAGAUUAUGCGAAGAACGCUGUCUCCUUCAAGAAGUGUCGUCCUGUGAAGUCCAGCCAUGGCCCAUAAAAGUGUUCGAGCGUGCUGGUCUGCGCCGGAGCCCUCGCUCGCCGUGAACCGUCGCCACCUCGGCUGCCUCCUCGCGCGGCUCGCUCGCGCCCACAACUGGGCUGAGGGGAGCGGCGUCCUAGCCUCCUUUUCGCUGGGACGUUGCGCGGGAGCUGGCUUCUCAAGAAUCGCAGGAACUUCUUGGUAAAUCAAAUUAUUUAAGUAUUAGGAUUUCUAUGGUUGAUGUGAUUGCAAGACUGUGUCGGUUUAGAUAUCACAGUUUGGUGAUGCAGAUGAGGUAUUUGUUCAUAGGUUACAAUGAAAAUCCAGAAGUGACUCGGAGCGGGAAGCAAAUACCAGCUGAAAAUUAAGAAGAUGUAUAAGGUUUGGAUGAGUAAGAGAAGUGCUCCAAAAAAGUAUUAGUUUUUUUAAGAUUGAUAUUUUUUGUUUUAUUUUCAUCUUAUGACUAUAUUUUUGGGUAAACACUGUUGUGGGCAAAAUUCCUUUCGUAAAUUAAAAAGUAUGAUGUGGAGACUGGAGCCUGAGACCCCACCCAAAAUUUUCUUAAGCCAAAAAAGUUAAGUUAUUAUUUAUAUAUUUCAUAUGCUUCUAGCUAUAAUUUUAUUUUUUAACAAUUAAAUUUAGUCAUGCAAAUUGACUGUGCUUAACAUGGUAUAGCUUCCUAUAAGCUGUAAAUAUAAAUUUUAUUAAAAUUUUAAAAAUUUGUUUCUAUUAUUUACUCACUGCAUUGCGCGGGUCUCUACACUAGUCUUAUAUAUAAAUCCUUAGUUUUUUUUUGAAAUUCAAUCUAAUUCUCCUCUCUAUCGUUAUGAAAAUUUAAAGUAUAUAAUUUUUUACACAUAAUUUUUAAAUAGUAUAAAUUAUAUAUAUGAAAUAUAAAUUUUAAUUUUAUAGUAUUGAUCACUUACAUAUAAAUUAUACAAUAAAAUAUAUAGUUUUUUACACAUAAUUUUUAAAUAGUAUAGAUUAUAUAUAUUAAAUAUAAAUUUUGAUUUUAUAAUAUUGAUCGCCUUCAUAUAAGUUGUACAAUAAAUAAGAAAAAGAUAUUGAUAAAGUUUAAGUUAAUGUUUUUUUUAAUAAAUUUAGUUGUGAAAAUCACGUGAAGUACAUUAACUAAAUCUGUAAGCUAAACGACGAAUUUAAAUUUUAAAGUUAAAUUAUUAUUACUGACUCAAAUUUAACAUGUAGAAAGAUUGAAUGGUAAAAGCAAAAUUUUGACAGGUUGGAUAGCUAAUUCAAAAUAGUUCAUAGUUCUAAAAAAUUCUAUACGUUUUUAUUUUGAUUUUCAUAUCAAAUUUUAAUGCCAUAUUUAUAAUCUGAUGAGCAAUCAAUUUCACAUUUAAAUUUUUUUAAAAUAUCCAAAAUAUGAUUGGUCGAUUUUUAAUUUUAAUAAUUAGACAUUUUAAAAUUUAUUAGAUGGUUUAACAUUUCGUAUAGAGCUUUGUCUUCGUCUGAAAUAAAAUUAAAAUAUAAAAAAGAUAUUUUACGCUUUUGGUUCUAAACUAUAAGGCACGUAAUACUUUAAUCCUCAAAUUUUAAUAUGUUUUAUUUUCUUACUCAAAUUAUGAGGCACGUUAUGUUUUAGUUCUCAAACUUUAAUUAGUUGUAAUUUUUGGCUCUAACUAUAAAACAUAUAAUAUUUUAAUACUCAACUUUCACUAUUAUUAUAAAUAUAAUUUUAUUAUUCUUAUAAUUUUUUCUUAUUAUUUUUUUAUUUUUCUUAUAUUUUUAUUAUUAUAAAUAUAGUUUUAUUAUUCUUAUAGUUGUAAUUUUUCUUAUAUUUUUAUUCUUACACUUUUGCUAUAGCAACUGUUGCUUUUUCUUAAAUUUUUUUUAUUUGUAUACUUUUUUACUCUUUGACUUUUUUUAUUUUUUAUUUUUAGUUUUAUUUAUUAUUUUUUCUAAGAAAUUGACCCACCGCAACGUGUGUACCUUCACUAGUCAAUAGUUAUGCCCCACUUCUCAAGCAAUCACCCAUCAUAAAAUUACUCUAAUCCUAACAUGUUUAACCCUUUUAACAUCUUGGGCCUAACAACGCCAAAAUGGUGAUAGCCAAAUUAAGAGAUUUAACCCUAUUAUAUCUAAUAUAUAUUGAACUAUUCCAAAUUUUGGGGGUGGUAUUAAAGUGUCAAUAUAAAAAAUACUCCUUUAAUUUAGAUAAACUAUCAUAAAUAUCCAAGUUGAUAAUAGUUUAUUGAAAAACUAAAUAAACUUUUAAAUUUGCCCAUCACCCAUUAUCUAUAUUUUUUUUUUAUUAACGUAAACAUUAUUUUUUUGAAAAUAUUACAAACACAAUUAAAUGUAUUCCAAAUUAAAACUAAUUUAUUGCAACAAACUAUAUUAUACAAAUACUAAAUAAAUAAUAAUAAUAAUUUAUAAAAAAAGAAAAUAGAUUCACAAAAAAAGUAUAACAUAUUUUUAACUUCAGUUAAUUAUUUAUUAUGAUUAAUAUGAGACCCAUAUGAUAUUGAUAAAAAAAAUUAAGCACACAAAAAAAUACAUUUAUAAAUUGAAUCAUAAACAAAAAUCAAAUUAUUUUUUCAAUGAAAAAUAAUUUUAUUAGCCCUAUGUUAUACUACACAAUUAUUUAUAAUUAAGUAUAACUAGGGAUAAAUUAGUCCAAAAGUUUUAAUCCAUGUGAUAGAGAGUAUUUUUUAUAUAAUUCAUUAACUUAUGGAGCAAAAAUAAUAUUGACAAUUUUGAAAGGAUAUUCACAAUAUUUUAUAAAUUUUAAGGAUCACGUCCGAAAUUGCCCCUAACUAAUAAUAUAUAAAUGUUUAAAAUCUUAGUUAAAUAGUUGUAACUAAUUAUCUCCAUCUUACCAUAACAAGUAAGAUUUAAAUUUUUAAAAACUUUAACUAAAUGUUUAGAAGUAUUCAACUCCUAUUAUUAUUAUUAUAACUAAUAAGAUUUAAUUUUUUUUAAAUUUUAAUUAAACAGUUGUAACAGCUUAUUUUAAUCAUUUUAAUAUAAUCCUUCAAAAUAUUUUUUUUUUGAGAAAUACGUAGUGAGCUAACUGCUUCAUUCAUUAAACGAAAUGAAUUAAGCGUUCAACGUGGAAGCAGCUAGCAAGGGCCUCCGAAGCGAGCCAAAAUAAUCAUUCAAAAUAUCACAAUCACUUUUUUAUAUAUUCACGAAACCUCUUUCAUCACCGCCAAUGUUGUUAUGCACCGUGAAUGUAUCUUUCACUCGCACUUUUUCUCUAUCAAAAGUUAACGUCAGACUUCUCUGCUGAGUUAGCCGAACGCUGGAGCAGAGCUCGGAAACUUCUUUCUGGGCAAUUCAAGAACCAUUUUGACCUCCUCUUCACUGCUUCAUGCUGGGAAUUAUGGAAUGAGCGAAAUAAGAGAUUAUUUGACGAUCAACUCAAGCAGCCUGACUUCCCGAGCCAAAGCAUUCUUUGCACAGUGCGAUCGUGGAAAGCCGCACUUGGGGACAUGGGCAGCAGCUAGGAGUUUGCGCUUUUUUUGGGUUUUUGAUCGAGAUCAACCCAUGUAUGUCUGUUUUGUUCGCCUUACUAGGCUUUUCUUGUAUCCCUUUGUCCUGAUUUUGUUAAAAUAGGGUGUACCUCUGUUUAAUCAAAAAAUAUAAAAGCACUACUCGUGUUGCUUAGUGUCACGAGACUUUGGAGAAUAGCCAAGCAACCAAAAGUUUCAUGCAAUCGAAGAAUUAUUUUUUUGAGAGAAGGGUAGCACGCUACCCGCUUCAUUCAGUAAGCAAUCGAAGAAUUAUUGAUGUGAGAAGGAACCAAAUUGAGUACAGUUGUAAACGUAAACACACGGGAAAGCAUACAUAUCAUACUAAAAAUCUCACGAUCCGUACACGAGUUCUUGUGCCAUCCAGUUCCUAAUCACCCAAAGGGUUCAGGACGUUUCUGAGUUCAUUAUUAGAGGGUAAAAAACGUACAAACCACGCAAGCAUUGACUUACUUUUAUAUAUAUAUAUAUAUAUAUAUAUAUAUAUAUAUAAUAAUAUAUAUAUAUGAUAUGAUUACUUAAGACCACACGCACAUUUAGAUCUAGCCGUUUAUUGUAGUCUUUAAGCUGCCUUUUUCUUGGGCCUAAUCUCAAUACCUCCUACGAUUAGCCCUUUCUUCCAGUUCAUUACUUUCGUCUCACUCAGCGACAUGCGAACCUUCUCCCCCUCUUCCCCUCGAUUCACGGUGAACUCACCCAGCUCUAUCUCCAUCCACCCAUCAUUCCUCUUCCGUGGCAACCUCACAUCAUCUUCAUGUUUCUUUUUUCCUUUACUAGGGUCGAGACACACAGCGCAUGCCUUCGCCUCGUGAUCACCCAAAGCCACACGUGCAUCUGGAUAUGGGGAGGUGAGGCCGCACGAUUCCUCGGCUAUUUUGAAGAUGAGAUAGGCAGCGUAAGUCUUCCCCGUAGUGAGAUCUUUGCAGUCAGAUUUUCCUUCGAUCUCCAACCGGCACAGGUCCAUCAUUUCAGCAACCUCCUCAUCAGAGCUGAUUAAGAACAUAUAUAUAUAUAUAUAUAUAUAGUACAGUAUCUUAUUAGAGAUAGCAUCAUACUUAAUUAUCCUCUAAUGUGCGCAACUUCUUCAGGAACUAAUGAGGAUGAUAUGGCAUUUAGAUAUAAAAUAAAUAAAUCAGUCCAAAUCUAGCCGAAAGAAAGUCAAUCGAUACCCUCCUGAUGCAAUAAGUACAUGGAUUCAAUGCAACAGUUAUGCAAUAAGUACAUGUCUUCGGCCCAAAUUUUAUCAUUCUGACCUCCAAAUUGUCAAUGGAAAAACUUUGUUCCUUAGUUUCUUACCUAAUUUGAAUUCAAAUUUGGUCAAAAUUUUUUAUGACUUAAUUUCUAAUUCAUUAAGUAUUAUAAAAUACAUAUUUUUUUUGAAUUUUUAUUUUUGUUCUAUUUUUGAAAAGUUCUGCAAAAUGUUUCUAUUUAAAGGGCCUACAAUUUCUAUAAUAGCAGUUUUAGUCAAAUAACAAGUCGUUUUCUCCUGCAUUGUUGCAUCAAUAACUUACCAUUCACUUUUUUCGCCUCAAUUGUCGUGUCAUUAAUCUUGUAUUUUCCCUUUAUCUCUAGCGUUUGGCUACUUAACUGAUUUUCCAUGUCAAUUAAUUUAAAAAAUCCUUUCCUUAAUUAUUUUUGCAAUUAAUAUGAGAUACGUAUUUCAUUGUCCUCUCGAAAUUACAAUAAUGUUUUUCUAACCGUAAAAAAUAUAUAUAUAAAAAUAUAAAUUAACAGUACCAUGAGAGGGCACAGACCUAGGAGGAUCACGGAUCCACGCCCAACAUUGUGAAGUCUCACUCUGCGAAAUGGUCAGAUCUCUCGGCCGUAUUUUAACCACCGACGAACCCUGCCAUCAUCACCAAUUAUCAACCAGAUUAUAAAAUUUAUUAUAAGAAACAAAAAAUUAAAGCCUCAUUUGGUAUUGUUUAUUUUGUAAUUUUUUAAAUAAAAAUUUUAUACAUGAGAUUGUAAGAGUGGACGAAAUAUUACUUCCAAUCUUUGCAAUUAAGGAAUUUGUUUGACAAAGAAAAUAAUAAUUUGAACGUAACAUUUUUUUUCCCCUUCCUUCAGUUUUUUUAGCAAGUUAUCGAUCGUUUCUUACUUGACUAGUGUGUAAUGCAAGCUAACUAAUCAUGACAAGAAUAAAAAAGUCCAACCACUAGCAUAUAUAUCCAAACAUAUAAAAAAAAUUACAAAAAAAAAUUACAAAACAAAUGAUAAUAAUAUCAAACGUGACCUAAAUUACAAAAGAAAAAGAUAAUCUUUCGCUUUAGCUUUUUUCUCACUGAGCCUUCUGUGUAGGUAAAUUGCAUCAAUUUAAAUCUUGCAAUUAUUUCUAUCUCAAAUAGGCUAAAAAAUUAAAAGCAAUUGUUCAGUUUCAGAAUAUCACAAACUAAGUUGGUGAAUCACAUUUUUUACACUUAAUGGAAUAGAAUUUGUAUAAAGUAAACAAAUAAUCCAAAAAGGGGCAAUUUAUCUCUAUUUUCAAGUUGUAACUUGUAUAAGUAUCCAUAUGAAGUUCUAUAUUCAAAUUUACCAAUCAUUCUAAAUUUUUGAGCCUUUUGAGAUGACAAAUUAUCCAAAAAGGAGCAAUUUAUUUCUAUUUUCAAGUUGUAACUUGUUUAAGUAUUGAUAUAAAGUUCUAUAUUCAAAUUUACCAAACAUUCUAAAUUUUUUAGCCUUUUUGAGAUAGUGGUUAGAUGAAGAUUAGAAUUUCCUCAAAUAGGGCAUUUCCCUGUUUAAGAAAGAUUAGAAUUUAAUGUAAUUCUUUAUUUAGGCGGCUAAUUGAAUUAUUAGCUAAAGCAUAGUAGUUUUUUGUAUAAUUUAGCCAAGAGAGGGGGGAAAAAAAUUAAAAAAAGACAAAAAAAGGAACUGUUGCACCUUGGGCGCUUUUCUGAUGUUAGCAACACAUUGUAACUUUUAGGGCCCAUUAAUUGCCCUGCCAAUGCCUUAUCGGAUUGUCGAAAUGGUUCCGAUUUUGUAGCCAUCGUAGAGUCAAAUACAUCACAAUUAUCUAAAUUUUCAUCCCUACGAAUAGAUACCUAACAUACAAAAAUUUCGUAGUUGUCAUCCAAACUCUCAAAGUUUUGUAACCAACUAUAUCGGUUUAUACUGUUGUUACUAGCACAAAUGACAAAAAAACAUGAUGAUUAGUAUUUGAUAAUCUUAAUUCGAAGUCUAGUUAAUUUAUAUUUUUAAUUAAUUUUAUUUUUAAAAAAUAAUAAAUAAACGUAGCAAAUAGUAUGUUACUUUUCUCUCAAGAUAAUUUUUUUUUUUUAAAAAAAGGGUUAAUUUUAUACAGAUCCGUGCAAACAUAAUAUAUAAAAAUAUAUAUAUUCCUACAAAGUUCAACUUUCAUAUGUUGUCUCUGCAAAAGUCCUGAUAUUUUCAAAUAUGUUCCUGCCAUUAGAAUUCAUUAGAAAAAUUUAGUUAACUAUAGAUUAAAUACUCAACCCUGAUAAAUUAACCCAACAACAACUAUCUAUUUCCAGAUUUUAGUGAUUUAAAAUCACUAAAAUCAAUCAAAAGUCAAGACGCAGUGAAAUACAUAUGCNGCAAAAGUCCUGAUAUUUUCAAAUAUGUUCCUGCCAUUAGAAUUCAUUAGAAAAAUUUAGUUAACUAUAGAUUAAAUACUCAACCCUGAUUAGUUUUUGACAUUUUUAUUUCUUUUAUAUUAUACUGUUAUGAUAUUUGGAGGGACAUAUUUGUGAUGGUAAAAUUGAAAAUAUAAACAGCUCUCUAAUGAUAACGAAUCGGAAGAAUAUAUUUGAAAAUAUUAGGACUUUUGAAGGGACAACAAAUGAAAGCUAAACUUUGUAGGGAUAUAUUUACUAUUCACUAUGUUUACAGCGACGUGUAUAAAUUAACCCAACAACAACUAUCUAUUUCCAGAUUUUAGUGAUUUAAAAUCACUAAAAUCAAUCAAAAGUCAAGACGCAGUGAAAUACAUAUGCCAAUGACGUAGAAGAACCUUCUUAAUGUCAAAAUUAUUUUUGUGAUAAAAUUGAUCAUAGCUAUUACGUUUAGUUUUUUAUGACCAAAUCACAUGUAAUUUUUAAUAAUUAAAUACUAAAAAUUAACUUUUUUUUUACCUCAAAACUAAAUCUUGACAUCAAAAUGGUGUUGUCACUUGACAUCAAAAAUUGAUCAUACUGUUUAUUAACCAUUUGGAUAAUACUUAUUAUUGUUAAUUGAUGGAAACAUAAUUUAUUAAAUUUUUUGAGUUUAGAUAGUUAUCUGAAAAUAUGUGAAAACUCAGAUUUUUUUUUCUUUUUUAAGUGUGAAGGAUCAGAUCAGCUCUUAAUCUUUGGAGUCUAGAUAUCUUUUAUACAGAGUAAACAGUAAGACAAGUCUAAACGGUUUUCUUUUAAAUAGAUUUUUUAAGUAACAUGGUAUUAGAAUCAGUAUUAAACUUCUUUCACUUUCGGAACGCGAGAGGAAACUGUGGACCAUCUGUUCUGUCGAUGCGUGUUCAGCAAAUUUACCAUUGUAACAGGGGCGGACGAUAUUCAGGCACAGGAUCUGGGGAACGAAGUGGAACUAGUUUGGGAAAGAUGGUCGGAUAGAAAGGAUCGGAUCAUGAAGAGAACUAGACUCACUAAUUUCGUAGGCUACUGGUGGACUAUCUGGAAGGUGAGGAAUGAUUGAUUUUUAGGAAUAGACUACCGAACCCCGGACUAGCUGUCCAAAGGCUUAAGAUAUUAGUGAAGGAGUGGGGAUCGUUCUCUCGACCUGAUCAGAAUUUUUUUUUUUUUUUUUUCGUCUCAGGGCCUGGCUGCCCCACCCUUGUAGCCUAAUUCAUCAUUCCGUUGAAUGAAGCGGGUAGGUGCUACCUUUUUCUCAAAAAAAAAAAAAAAAAAAACUCCUUUCACUUUCAAGAUAUUUUGAGUUUGAUUUCCACUUUCGCCACUUUAUGACAAAUAUUUUUAUUUAUUAUUAUUUCUCUUAUUUCUUUAGUAAUUAAUAUCCAUAAUAUAGCUCAUCUUAUAUUUAUCAUGCAUGCACACGAGCUAAAUGUUAAGAUUAAUUUUUUAACUUCUUUAUAUUAGAUUGAUUAUUUGAAUGACAGCAAAACAAUUGAAAGCAGAAGACGAAGGAAAGGGAGAAGAAGCAUGAAAUAAUUUUUAAAGUAAUCAACAACUAUAUACCGUUCCUCGACCGUCAGUGCGGAUGGACUUGCCCUCGGCUCUUUGGCGCAUGCGUUCGAACCGCGACCAAAUACUCUGCGAUCUAUACUGUCCGGCAUUCAUACCUUCCAUGCACACACUUAACCUAGCUAGAGCUUCAGUAUCACCUUUCCUUCUAUUAUUUUCUUCAACUAUAUGUAUAUAUAAAUAGGGGAUGAAGGAUGAUGUGGAAGAUGGGGAAACGAGGAGAGGUACAUAAAGAGGUGAGCACCCUUCAGGGUACGUGGAUGAAAGGGAAUGCACAAGAUGCGCUGAGAUGCGAAGAUAAAUUAUUGCCCGCACUUGGUACACCAUGUAAUCUAUGCACCGCACAUGUUAGGAGGAAAAAAACAGAAAAGGAAAGAUGGGUCUCAUAAAAAAUAGCUGAGUAAUAAUCUUAACACGUAGUUCCAUACGUAUAGUAAAGAUCAAAUAAAUCAUACUAUAUAUAUAUGCAGUGAUAGGAGAGACAACGCCGUGGUAACAAAAUCAAACUCAAAAUAUUUCAGAACAGAAAAAACUAAAUACUGUCUUUGAUAAAAGUAUAAUGUAAACGAUCAAUCUAACUAAAAAUAAUCCAAAAAUAAUCUUAACAUUCAGCAAUUCUUUCAUCACCCUGAUGUCCUAAUUGAUAGUCUCCUGUUUGGAGUCAUGAUCUAAACCUAUUCUAAGAUUUUGUUGGAGAUAAAGUUUUUAGAGUUUAAUUAUAUUUAAAAGUCUACAUACUAAUUAAGGAUAUUGUGCUUGCUUAUCUAAUAAUAGUAGAUAGGGUUUAAACUAUUUGUAAUAAACCUGUAUGGCUGGGUUAAUUAGAUGCGUAGAAGUCGGUUUUUGGACCACGUGUGUGUAUAUAUACACAUAUAUUUGGUGGGGUUGUAUAGUAACCGAUUGGAAAAAUUAUUGUGAAUAAAUAUUAGUCCAGUUAAUUAUGCCUCCUUCCUCCUUAUGUUAUGUUAUCUCCUUAUUAUUUUAGUUUUACAACUUCAUAUCAUAAAUAUUAGUAUCAGUAAAGACCGAUUUAUAUAACCAAUACUAGAGCAAAUGGCGCUUCUAAUUAAUGGUUUCCGAGCAAAUAUCAUUUCUAACAUCACCCACAUUCGUUGAAUUACAUUUUUUAUAUUAAAAAAUAAUUGGAACGCCGGAAAGGGGGCAGUCACAGGAUGCACCGGGCGUAUGCAACAAUUCAUCUAAAGAGGAGAGACACAAGUAACAUUCGCUUAUGAGCUUUCAACUUUAUUCUCGUCCACUUUCCUGACAUGGAUCUUCACAGAUAAGAACGAAUUUUCCACGUAAAGCAUCUGACAGAAAAAAAAAAUUUAACUCAUUUCAGAUUUUAGAAAUUAAGUUUUUUUUCGCUAUUCCAAAUUUAGCCCAAAUUUUUGGAAAAAAGUUCCAAACCACCCUAUUUUCAACCACCAAAACCUAGUUUUCUCUGUCGAAGAUUUUUAUGAUAAUUUUAUAAUAUUGCAAAAGGCAAGAUUGAAAGAAUUUUUAAAUUUUUUGGGCUAUUAAAAGUAUAAAAUGGAUGUUUUUGAUAACGCAAUUCCAAACUAAACCAUGGCUUUUUAGAUGAUAAUAUUUUUUUGUGGGAAUUAUUUUUGCUUUUUAGUUUGUGAAUUGGAAUUCUUUAAUUUGUUUUGCUUUUUAUUUUGUGAAUAGGAAUAUAUUCUUUAAUUUGUUUUGAGUGGGAAUCUAAUCUUUUUUUUCCUUUCGGUAAAACUAUUCCUUUCGUUGCGAAUCUUAUUCUUUUACCUUUCUGGUACUCAAACUAUUCUUUGUGUAGGAAUCUUUUAAAGUGCCAAACAGCUUUUCUUUUUCCUUUAGCGUUUUCCGUAUCUUUUAAAGUGAAAAUUAACAAAAAUCACAACUUGAAUUAAAAAAAAGGAAAAACUUUAAAAAAAAAUCCCUGUAGUUUCAUAGUUUCUCACUUUGCCCCCAUGCAGUUUAAAAUGUAUCAAUUUGUCCCCCUAUGGUUUCGUUUUUAUCUUUCCAAUAGUUUUUUCAUUAAUAUUUCAUUAAAUUAUAUACAAAAAACUUCAAAUAUCCAUCUAGAUUUAUCAAAUAUUUACUUUAGUACUCUUUAAUUUUAACUUUAUCACUGAUUUAGGAAAAAAAAAUAAUAAAAUUAAUAAGAAAAAAAGAAAAAAGAAACCACGGGAGGGCAAAUUGAUACAUUUUAAACCACAGGGGGGCAAAGUGAAAAACUACGAAACCACAGGGGGUUUCGAAGUUUUCCCUUCAUUUUAUCUUUGUUUGUUUAUGCAUGCCUGAGCAUAUUUUGCUGCGGAAUUGAUGCAAUUGAUGGAUCAUACCUAGGCAUAAAUUAAAAGAUCAUAGGAGUAAAUUUUGGUACUUGUUAAUUAUCAACAUAUUUAUAGAAGUUCGCUAGAUUGGUACUUGAAUAUAUUUUUCCUAUAUUAUUAUAUCAUGACAUGACAAUCCUUAGGACAAAAUAGUGUAUCUAGAGUGCUUGCUUGUUCUUCUCCCAAAUUAAAAAAAGAAAAACUUUAAAAAUUCUCCUAUAGUUUCGCAUUUUCUUAUUUUAAUAUUUUAUAAUUUAAAGUGUAUUAAUUUGCUCCUACAUUAUUUUGUUUUUAUCUUUUCGGCUGCUUUUUCCUUAAUAUUUCGUUAAAUUAUAUACAAAAAACUUCAGAUACCUAAUCUAAUUUCAUCGAAUAUUCAUUUUAGUAUCCUUUAAUUUUAACUUUGUCAUAAAAAUAUCCUGAAAUGGAUAAUAAAAAGAAAAAAAUGAAACCACGGGGUAUUAUAUUGAUGCACUUUAAACCACAGGAUACAAAAGUGAGAAAGUGAGAAAGUGCGAAACCACAGGGGAGAAAAUUGAUACACUUUAAACCACAGGAUACUGAAGUGAGAAAGUACGAAACCACAGGGGUUUUUUUGAAGUUUUCCCCAAAAAAAAAAGUAAAAAUUGAAGGGCCUCAAUUCUACUCUAAUUUCAUUUAUAGUUUUAAUUUUCACAAGUUUGUGCUUCAGUAUUUGAUUUGUGUAGUAAUUUUGCAAGUUCUGCGAUUAUGUUAUAUUUGAAACUGCACAAGAAAUCUCAAUUGUAGUAAUUUAGACUACAUCCAAAUUGGUCACUAUUUUAACUGUAGUAGUUAUAGUGAGUAUUUAUAAACACGAGUAUAUCUCCGGCCCUUUUUUAACUACAUCCAAUUCGAACAAAAUGCAUAUAGUUGUAACUGCUGUAUUUUUUAACUACAAACAUCUCCAACAAUAUCAUUUUUAGACUCUUUUUGUAAUCGAAGGAAGAUUGCAAUAGGUGUGGUGAGAAAGCACGAUGAAAAAAAUAUUGCAUUUGUAUACAUAUGUAAUAUAAUAAUGAGUCUGGCUACUAUACUUUUAUAAGUACGAUUUUUCUCGUACUUAGAAGUCGUUUUCGAUGAUAGAGCUUCCGAAUCAACGAUCCAUACAGUUAAAAAUUAUAUAGAGCAUUUAAAAUUUCUAAAAAUCAAUUUUUUUAAUUUUUUGACAUUAUUUAUCUUACGAUAAAAAAAAAAUUGACAAUUUUUAACGAUCGGUACGGGAUAGUUACUAGUUUAACGAUGUAAAAGAANCCAGGACCUAAAUUCGCGAUGGACCCCUAGGACCUAAUUCACCUUAAGAAAAAGUCCAGCCUCACUAAUCGUUUAGUUGAUCAACUCUACGUAACGUAAAGAAAGCUUAUUUUGCAUCGUAGUUUUUUUUUUCUACUUUUUAGUAUGGAUAGCUUAACGUUGAGAAAAAAAAAAAAAGCCCAACAAGCCUAAUCUAGGACACCAAUAGUUUGCCAACAUAUAUUUAAUAUAAUAAUAAUAAUCUAUAUUUAUCUCGAACCUCGAAGAGUUUCUUUCUUUUUCCUUGAUUGAAGACGUCAUUAUAAUUUGGGAGAAGUUGUAAAGAGGGGGUGACGUCCUGAAAACACUGGUGACGGCAACAUGGUGGACGAUCUGACGCGAAAGAAAUAAUAUUAUUUUUAAAAAUCUAUUUACUGACGCCACAUAUACUGCCCAACGUGUUGGGAAACUCGCAACGGAAUGAACUGAGUUCUGUCGAGCUGAAUGAUUUCUUUCUAUUCUUUCCUUCUCUUAAGGCCCUGCUGCCUCACAAUAUGUAGCUAAAUUUAUUAUUGCCUAAAUGAAUGAAGCGGGUAGCAUGCUAUCUUUUUCUCAAAAAAAAAAUAAUAAUGUAUAUAAAAUAUAUAAUUAACAGUUCCACCACAUCAUAAAGAUGAAUUAUGGAAGAGCAACGUCCAAGUUUAGGCAAUUGCUAAUGAGAACUUGCCACAUACCUAAAAGAAAUUUUGGGAGCAUCUAUUACGCCGUAAACCGACUGUAAAAUAUAUAUCAAAGAUAAAUUUCUAUAGUACAAUAAAUUAUUUAGAUAUUUUAUAUUACAUAUAUUAUGUCAUAUUUUAUUUUAUAAUACUACUUAUCAAAUAUUUUAUCAGUCAUUUAAUAUACUUUGCACUAUAUAAAAUAUUAGUAUAUACCAGGUGCAAACAAAUAUUUAUCUGAGUGCGUCUACUAUACUUUCGAAAGUACCGGAACCUCCGUGCUUGUAAGUUGUUUUCAAUGAUAGGACAUCCGAUUCGACGAUCGGCUCCGUUAGGUAUAAUCUACCCUAUUGGAACUAUCUAGAUACUAAAUUUUAUAAUUUUUUGACAUCAUUUACUAAGCGAUCAAAAGGUCCCAAAAAUAACUAUUUUAAUGACUAAUGCGGUACGUUUUGAAGUUCAACGGUGUAGAAGUAUCCAAAUUACAUAAAAAUUUAAUAGAAAAUUAUACUUAACGUCAAUAGCAAGAUCAAUACUUCCGAUUUGAAAUUUGAGUCCUUUAUCAUUGUUUUUUGUGAGAUUUUUAUUUUCAGUCGUUCAUUUUGAGGCUACUCGUUCACUAGGCAAACGAAGUCAAAAAAUUAUGAAAUUUGGUUUCUAGAUAGUUCCAAUAGCGUAGAUCAUGUCUAACGGAACCGAUCACCGAAUCGGACGUCCCAUCAUCGAAAACAACUUACAAGUACGGAGGCCCCCGCACUUUCGAAAGCAUAGGAGCCUAGCUCUAUUUAUCUUCUCUUUUUUGAAAUUAUGAAAAAGAGCUUUUUAAACAGCCACAACCAAUAAAAGUUUGUCACAUAUCUAAUAGAAAUUUUGGAUGCAUCCAUUGCUCCAUAAAUCAAUUAUAAAAUAUGCAUCAAGAUAAAUUUCUAUAGUACAAUAAAUUAUUUAAACAUUUUAUAUUAUAUAUAUUAUAUCAUAUUUCAUUUCACAAUACUAAUUAUCAGAUAUUCUAUCAAUCAUCUAAUAUACUUUGUGGCGUAUGAAAUAUUAGUGUACACCACGUGCAAGCAAAAAUUUUCUCUUUCUUGAAAUUAUGAGUGCACCCCAUAAGUAAACGAUAUUGAAAAAAACUAAAAUUUUAUUCAUAAAAAUCAUAUAUGCUAGAUCAUAUUUAACGAUAUGGAUCGUUGAUUUGAACAUCCUAAGAUCGAAAACGAGACUAUAGUACCGAAAUUCCGGUACUAUAGAUAGUAUAAUAGCCUCAUUAUAUAUAUAUAUAUAUAUAUAUAUAUGUAUAUGUAUGUAUAUACAUAUACAUAUAUAUAUGUAUAUACAUAUACUUAUACAUAUAUAUAUAUAUACAUAUAUAUAUGUAUAUGUAUAUACAUAUAUAUAUAUAUACAAGUCCAGCUGCUAUACUCUUAUGAGUACGAUCGUUUUCGUACUCAUAAGUCAUUUUCGAUGAUAAAACUUUUAAAUCAAUGAUCCAUAUCGUUAAAUAUGGCUUAAAGCAUUUGAAGCAUUCGAAACUUUUAGGUACUCUUUGGUUCGAGAACAAGCUAUUUUUGUUUAUUUUUGGAAUAGGUAUAACUUCUGGGAUAUAUAUAAAUUAAUUCAAUUUUGUGUUUGAACAAGAAUCGAGAUAUUUAGAGAAAUAAGAAAUAUUACGUUUGGUUAAUUGGGUUGGAAUAGUAGGGAUAAGAGUAAUUAUGAUUGAAAAUAAAAAUAAUUUAUCUAAAUAAUAAGCAUCUAAAUAUUAGUAAAAUAAUAUUUUAAUAAGUUAAUAAAUAAAUUAAUAAAAAUUACUUUAUAAAUUAAUUAAAAUCUAUUACUAUAUAUAAAAAUAGAACCCUUAAUGAACCCUAUGUGAGAAGCUGACACGUGGCUUUCUAUAUGCUUGCCACGUGUCAAACUCAAAUAUGGAUAUUUAAAAUUAUUGAUUCCGAAAUCAAUAAUCUAACGGUCAAACUCAAAUUUCGUAUUGGCAAAUAAUUAAUUAUUUAAAAUUAUUGGUUGAGAAAUACGCAAUAAUCUGUUGCGAAUUAUUUGAAAGCAGAAUAUAUAAAAGUUAUCUCAAAUUUAAAAUAUUGGAUAUUUUAUUUAAAUUAUUAUAAAAUAUAUUAAUUUUUAGUCAAUAAAUCUAAUUGACUGACGAAUACAAAAUAUCUGUCACUUUUUUUUAUCUAAAUUGCCCUCAAAUAGUGCGUAUCCAAUUUCACUUUUUAUAUGCAUGUCAUAUCUUCUAAUAACCGUCGUCCACAUAUAUCAUAUUUUAUCACAAAUAAUAUUCGCAUAUCUUAAUUUUUUGGCAAUAAAUUACUACUUAGUUAAUUAUUUGAAAUGAUUGGUUGAAAAUUUCUGGACAUAAAAAUAUUAGUAAAAAAGGAUAGAGACAUUUUUGGAAAGAGAAAAAAAUUCAAAAUUCACGUUUUAUAAAAAAUUAAUAUCUUUUACUAUAUUAUUAAAAAUCACAUAUAAUGAAGGAAAUUUUAUUUCAAAGUUAAUUCACGUCUUAUAAAAAAUUAAUAUCUUUUACUAUAUUAUUAAAAAUCACAUAUAAUGUUACGCCCCGGGGUCCCUUUGAGUUUAAAAGAUAGCGGAAAAGCGUCUGAAUUUUUUUUUUUGAAAAUCUGACCCCAGAGUAUGCCAGACCCGCCACAAAUACAGAGAUUCCACUGUUCACACGGACAGAGUCUCCCCUGUAUUUGCACGGCGUCGCACAAGUACAACAGUACAAACAGGAUACAACCACAACUAAAUGAAUAUAGAAAUCACCAUACAUUCAUACAUUCACCAUUCACAUCACAGAUUUGCAUUCAAUGUCUAAAUAUAAAUUCAUAGAAAAUCUUUUAAAAACUGUUCCUUACACAGGAAUCUUUAUUCUUUAAAAACGCUACCACGAGGGGUAGAAAACCUUUUAUUUUACAAAAUCCAGAAAUCCACAUUUUCAAAUGUAAAUAAAUACUGAACUACAUAAACCAACUAAACUAUACAUCGACCGAAAUAAGAAGGGUAAGAAACUAAACCGAACAACCUGGGUCGGAAGCUCUAUCGACCACUACGAACGUACAUAAAGGUGACUGGGCACAACAACAUAUCGAGAAGGACUAGGCCACUCAUGAGGAGCGGAAGAAGCCGAACGCCAUGGGUGACCCUCCCCUCUGUACAAAUGUACAAGAGUGGAGGGGGUGAUAAAAAGUCCAUAGCGUCCGCUACACAUAACCCUGCUCUGCACUCNACAUACCUAUAAUGUAUUUUUUAGUUUAUUUAAUUAGAGAUACGACAAAAUUGAAUAUAUGUAUUAUGUACUAAUUUUUAAAUUAUCUUUUUCUACGCAUUGUGUGAAUUUAGUGAGAUUAAAUGAUCACCAAACAAAAGUGCUCACGCUCGCCGAGGUAUGGAAGCCUAUAAUAAUUGGCUUAAAAAGGCUCGCAUUGCUCGCAUCAUGUUGCUGAGCGGGAUAAAAAAUGAUCUCUUGUAGGAAUAUGAGCAAUACCUGACUGCAUAUGACAUGUGGGAGGCUCUUAAAACUAAAUUUGGUACGACUUAAUUCGGCCACAAGAUUGCGCAGCCUAUGUCAUGCCCCGGGACCCAGCGGAAGCCCGUCCGGCACGUGCCCAGACCCGCCAUAUGUCUAAAACAUAUAAGGCGUCUACAACAAAUAGACAAAUAAAGCAACAAAGUAUGAAAAUUUAGAGAUAUCAAAGCGUAGAAAAACAUCUAGAUUCUAUGAUAGGAAAAGAGUACAAGGGCUACCAUCCACUAAGAGAAAGCUAUAAAGAAAGUACAACAAGUAAACCAAUUCAAGUGCCAAAGGUGAAACAUAGGUGAUUUCUAUAUAUGGUACCAAAACCUCUCACUCACAAAAACAACAAAGGAGGAAAGCCACUUAGGCAAAAAGUAAAGCUCUGCUAUCUAGCUAUGUGAUCCUCUUGCCACGGUCCCGUGCCUCCACCGGUGUAGAGGGCUCUGAAAUAAAACAUAAAAUCGAGGGCGUGAGAACUAUUAAAUAAUAGUUCCCAGUGGGCAAUUACUGACUUCAGUGAAAAGGCCGAAACUAAGCAAGUAAGUGCGAAUAAAUAAGCCAUAUAAAGAACAAGUAUGUAAACAUGAAUACUACUAAACCAUAAUAUCUUUACUUAGCAUGAAUUUGCAUAAGUAAUAAAGCUACUACAACAUGUAUGUACAUGAGUGUGACUAACAUGUAUAAGCAUGAAUAUGCAACCAACAUAAUGUCCUCAAUGUAAAUAGUAAAAUGUCAUUGUUUAUUAUUCUAGUCAAUGUCCAAUUGGCAUAUUAACCACUUAAAGUUUAAAUUUUGUAAGACCCGCCCGAAGGCUGUCUGGCCUGAAGAUCCACCCGUAGGCUGUCUGGCCGGUACCGUGCCUAAUGGCACCGUAGUAGUCAACAUUCCUACUCUAGGAAUGAGUCUUGCCCACGGCAAUCCACUUCGACGCCCAAUCCCGCACGGCGAGUAUAUAUCGCGAUGGCUAUCUCCGGAGUGCCGGCUUGUNUACAGGAUCUAAAUGCUCUUGAAUUUUCUCAAAUUCAAUGAACUGAGGUUCAGAGCUUACACUGAUUGCACCAUCCUCAAUAAGCUGAGCUGUAGGAAGUGAUGGACAGUAAAAUUUAUAUCAUUUGGACCUUUCUGAAUAACCAAUAAAAUAUCCUAAUAUGGUUUGAGGGUCCAAUUUUCUUUUUUGUGGGUCAUACAAUUUGCCCUCAUCUUGACAACGCCAUGUAUGAAAAUGCCUUAAACUGGGCUUUCUACUUGUCCAAAGCUCAAAAAGAGUCUUAGUGACAGCCUUAGUAGGGACCCGAUUAAGAAUAUACACAGCAGUUUUGGUUGCCUCACUCCACAAUGAUAUCAGAAGGGUAAAAUUACUUAUCAUGCUCCUGAGCAUGUCAACUAAUGUGCCGUUCCUUUUUAAGCAACACCAUUCUGAUCAGGUGUCCCUGAUAUGGUGUACUGUGGAACAAUUCUGCACUGCUCCAGAAACUUAGCAAAAGACCUAGGGAUUUGGCCUUUAUCUGUUUGUCUACCAAAAUAUUCACCACCCCUAUAUGAUUUGACCACUUUUAUUCUUUUUUCGAGUUGAUUCUCUACUUCAGCCUUAUAUGCCUUAAAGGCAUCUAAUUCUUCAGAUUUUUGUUUAAGCAAGUAGAAAUAGCCAUAUCCAGAGUAGUCAUCAGUAAAUGUGAUAAAAUAUUUUUGGCUAGUAAUUGAGAGAGGAAGAGGUCAGCAUAUAUUCGUAUGCAUCAACUCUAAUGUGAUAAAAUAUUUAGCACCUUUAGAGGAGGUUUUGGUCUGCUUUUCUUUUAUGUAGUCCACACAUGUUGAUUCCAAAGUUAGAGAAAUCGACAUCAUCUAAAAUGCCUUCUCUAAUUAAUCUUUGGAUUCUCUGUUUCGAGAUGUGUCCCAACCUCUUAUGACAUAUUAUGUCAUAAUAUGGAUGACCUUUCAUUGUUAAUACCACGUUUUGAUCCAACAUUUUCGUGCAUAGUAGUAAGAAUGAUUUCACUAUAUGAAUGAUCUAACGAUACUUUAUAUAGAUUAUGUUUCAAAACACCAGAGCCAACUAUCUAAGAUUUGUAGGAUAAAGAAAAACUUUAUUAUCAAAUUGAAACUAUAUCCCAAUCCAACAAGUUUCGAAAUAGAAAUUAAAUUAGAAAAAUUUGGAGCAUAAAAUGUAUCGACUAAAUCCAAAAUAUAACCAGUAGAAAGAACUAAUCUAAAUGUUCUACAAAUUCUACUUUAGUUGGAUUUUCUUCAACUUUAUAGAUAGUGGUUUCAUUUUUACUGGGUUUUCUGCGGUUAUGAAAUCCUUGCACGGAAUUUGCCACAUGGCAUGUGGUUUCAGAGUCAAUCCACCAAGUAUCAGAUGGGGUAGUAACUAAAUGCAACUCAUGCAUCAAAGCCAGAAACUUACCCUUCUUCUAGAGCUAUUUCUGAUACUUUUGGCGAUCCUUCAUAUGACCUUUUUUCCUACAAAGUAUUUGGGAGUCCAAUUACUUGAUUGUGUAACGACCCCGCCCACUAGCAACAAUAACUCGUUGGGCCCAACCACCGGCCCAAAAUGCUUAAGCCCAGUUAUUAUUACUGGUGUCUAAGUCUCUUAUAUAUAUUUAUUUUUACUGAUUUAAUUGGUAUAUUUUUUAUAAGGCCAAUUUGCAUAAAAAACCUAUUAGUUUUCAGCUUUUGCGAAAGUAUGCCGCCUUUUUGGAUUUUGUAGAUUCGGACUGAAUUUUCAGAAAACUGACCAAAAUACCCCUUUUCCCUUUUCUUUAUCCUCUUUUUUUCUCUCGUUCAUUUUUUUCUCUCUCCGAAGAUGGCGGUGGAGGCGGAGGCGGAGGCAGCUCGCCUUGCCUCUGUCCCGCGCGCUCUCGCCCUCACUCGUGUAUCCUCCCUCCGCCUUCUCGCCUCUAACCUCGCCGAGGCUGCGCCUUAACCUCUUUNAGUGAACAGAUAAGUCGACUCUACUCCUAAGCAUGAUAUCAACAUGGAACUAUCGACCGCAUGGGUCAUCAUGUAACCAAAUCGACCAACCAGGUGACAAGUAUAGCGUAUGAAACUCGACCAAUCAUGUCACAAGUAUAGGAUAUGAACUCGACCAAUCAUGUCACAAGUAUAUAAUCUAGAACUACCGUCGGCCACUAGCCGACAAUCCGACCCCUCAGGGUACACCGACCUCAACAGUCAUCGGACAACAGAAGUCAAAGGACCGACCAACCAGGUCACUGAUACGAGGUACAAGAAACCACCAACCAGGUCAUAAGUGUAGGAGAUGCAACGUCGACCAACCAGGUCAUGGAGAUCACAUAGGAUAUCAGACCAACCAAAUCAUAAAUAUCAUAUACAGAUAAAGUCUACUCUACUCCUACACAUGAUACUACACCGGGCAACAACUAAGUAGAGUAAUAAGGAAACAGCAUGGGUGCAAGGCUCAACAUAUAUAUGGUAAAAGAUAUAAACAACAAGGGUAAAGGAAACGUCACCGAGCGUGCACCACUGUACCAACGUCGGAUCGAAGUACCCACCUGUACAUGUCUGGAUCAGAUCUCACGACGGCGGGGAACAGAGCAACCAGACCUACGAAGGGUCCACAAGAUCAGAAGGAAACCCUAAUGUCAGCAACUAAUAUAAAAUCCCCAGACAAGGAACCACGGGAAUCGGUUUCCCAAGACCGAUUGCCGCAUCGCACCGGGUGUCCCGAAUAUCGCACCGGGGCUUCGCCGGGGUCCAUUAAUUAUCCCGGAACACCCCAACUCCAACUGGGAGUCAACCGCUGCCACUAAUACUCUAUAAUAACCCACAUUGGCAGCAGACACCACACUUCGCCUCGGAACAGACAUCGUUGACUAAACGUCUCGAACCGGGUUCCCGAAAGUGUCGUUUUUGACACCGGGACCCACCAGUCGCUCACCCGUCGUUUCCGAACCCCGAAACGACACGGGUGACUUGCCAAGAAGGCUUAGCGACAUCACAACUGAUCCCGAGGCAUCGUCGGAUAAAAACCGAACUAAGAUCGCAUUCCGUCGACGAAUUUCGCCACGAAACGCCCCGAAAGAGGCUUUUCGAUCUCCGCAGUGGCUUGGGGCCUUGGACGAUCAGUCCAGAGGUUACCCUCAGCGUUUACACGCUGUCCACAGCGACCGAGUCGAAGCUAUAAGCAAGAAAGCAUAACAUGAACCCUAAAAUCUAUCAUUUUAUGCGAUUUUCGACAGUUCCUAAGGCCCGAUCUUGCGAUACGAGGUUCGCUGGGUCAACCGUCGCACCCGCUGAUAGAUUUCAGCGUGCCGGAGACCGUGCUCACCAUUCGGAGCACAAUCGGCGACUGCGGUGCGCGCACAAGCGACGCGAAGGUCAGCGAAGCAGCGCGCACCGCAGGAAGAUCGCGGUUACCCGAGCAACCAAGGCAUCUCAGGGCUCAACGGAAGUGAGCACGAUGUUCAGCACGACCUAAGGAUCAUCGUGCUCACUUCCCGAGGUCAAAAAGACCAUUCGGAUUGCCGAAAAAGUUACCGGAAAGUGGGAAAACAGUGCUGGAAAGCAUAAAUGGACACUCACAGUGAGGGGGGAGCUAGGGUUGGCCGCCGGCGGUAUUCCGGCAGGCGGUCCGGCUGGGGAGGGGUGCACCAGGUGGCGGGGCUCCGGGGCACUCCACGUCAGGCGGCGCAGGGCGGCCGGAGGUGCGGCGGCGGCGUACGGAGCCGACAACUCCUUUGUGGUUUGGUGCGUUCCAACAAUUGCCGGCGGCGACGCGGCGGCCGGGGCAGGUCGGGGCCGGUCGGGGAUGAUGCCAGGGGUCGAGGCGGUGGCCGAGCUUGCGUCGGCGGGUGGCGGCGAUGCCCGGGAGUGAAGGCGGCCCGCGUUCGGCCCCUACAGCACACAGGCGGCGGCAGGGGGCUCCUGCGGCGGCCGGCGGCCCUCGAGGGUGGCCGGGGUCGGGCGCGGUGGUCGCCGGACGGUCGGUGGAGACCUCCGCGGCCGUCGGGAAACGGCGGCAGGGCUCACACACCCGAGCCACCCAGCUUCGGCCUGGGUGGUGUCCCCGGGGCCGCAGGCGGCUACGGCGGCUCCGGCGGCGCACGACGACGGUGGGGGUCGGCGGUGACGGUGCCGGCGGGGGUGCCUGGGUCGGGGCUCACCUCACCCGAGGCUUGGCCGGCUCAGGAUGGUGCUUGGUACUUCCUCGGCCAAGGUGGAGGGAGAGGGAGGAAGGUUGGAGCUUGGGAAAUCUUUUCCGGCGACGGCGGCGGCUGCCGGCCGCCGAGGUGCAAGCACGGCGUGGGCAGGGGGGCCUCCUAGGCGGCUGGUGCACAGGGAGGGCUAGGGUUAGGGUUUCCACGAAGCCCUAGGUUCCAACACACAUAUAAAUAUGUGGCAAUAUGCAAUUUAGCCCCUCUAAUAAGAAUAUUUCUAUCCCAGCCCUUCACAACGCGUGAAAUAUGCGCGAAUACACCUUCACAAACAAAUUCACGCGAAACGGCACAUAAAAUAUCGCACUUUUUGCGAAGUUACCCUUUUGCCAACACCGACCUCUCCUCGAUCAACGUGCGAUCUCCGCAGAUCCGUCCGUCAGAUUUGCGAACGGAUUGCACCAGUGCGAUCAGCACCUCGGAGACAACAAAGCUACGAUUUUGUUUCACCACGAUCGACCACGGAUUCACGACAAAAUCCAAACUUUCUUUCCAAUAGAAGGAAUAACACAUAAAUACAUAUAAAACACGUAUUUUCGGAUUUUCUCGAAAUUCGUGGAUCAAACUCAAAAUCCGUCAGCGCCAGUAGUUCCAGAAUAGCUGAACCGAUCGAAACGAGCUAUUGGACUGAUAUGAACGGAGUCCGAUACGCACCAGAAGCCAACUCUACUCCGUGGCUUCUCCGAAAAACCGGAGUUACUAUUCACUUAAGUGAAAACUAAAAUCGCGUAUCUUCUCCAUUUUAGCUCAGUUUCUCCUGAAACUUGACGAGUGCUUAUGUAACUAGAUUACACACAUAAACAUCAUCAACCGAGAGUUAAGUUGCACAGUCAAAAAUCUCAAUCCUUACAUAUAAUGAAGGAAAUUUUAUUUCAAAGUCACCUAUAAUUAUGUUGAGAUAUUUGAGAAAUUUAUGGAUAUUAUAUUGCGAAAGAAUUGGCGGUGCGGAUAUUACGCGUGAGAAGAAAAAUAUUUAUCUUUAUUUGGAAAUAAAUUAUUAUUUAGUUAAUUAUUUAAAAUGAUUGAUUGAAAAUUUCUGGACAUAAAAAUAUUAGUAAAAAAGGAUAGAGGCAUUUUUGGAAAGAGGAAAAAAUUUAAAACUCACAUCACUCCUGUAAUUUUCUUCGCUCUUAAAUAUUGAUGCUUUAAAAUAGAACGUAUUAUUUCCCUUCUGUCACUUCUGUAAUUUUCAUUUCGUAAUUUUUUUUUCCUUCUGUCACUCAUGUAACUUUUCAUCUUCAUGCAACAAAGUUUUUUUUCUUUAUAUUUUUUUGAAAAUCAACAUCUAUAUAUUUUUGAAUUUUAAAAGCGAUAGUAGGAACAUAAUAUAUGUGUGCUUAUUCUAAUUGGUGUCAAAUAUGAAAGUUUAGUUGAUCUCAUUAUAUGCUUAAAUAUUAAUGUCAUUUGUAAUUUUUCAUAUCAAUUUUAGUUAUCAUUUUAUUUCGCACAUCAAUAUAUAAAUGUAAAUUAUUUUGCAUACCAAUUCAUAGAUAAUAGAGCAGGAUUAAAUUUUGCAUUUUAGUUGAAUAUUUACUUUGGUCCAUUUUUUUUUUCUCUAGCUUGUGUACUUUAAUGUAUACUAUAAUUAAGAUUGAUAGUAUAUUUUUUUAUUUAUUAAAAAAUAUAAAAUUAAUUAGAAAAUCUUUUUGUUAUCAUCAUAUAAUAAUUUUUAUUAUUCUAUAUUAUUAUAUUAGCCGUGCAUCGCACGGGUGAAAAUCUAGUUACUAUAUAAGAUGACAAAGAUGACAUUAAUUAAUGAAUAACUAUAAAAAAAUAAGUCAAUAUGUUAACAUUAAUUAAUUAUUUAAUCAUUUAUCUUUUUAGUUAAUAUAUUAAUUAUAUAAAUUAAAAUACUAAUUAUUUAAAUAAUAUAAAUAUUAGUUAAUGAUUGAAUAAACAUAUCAUAUGGCUAACUAUUUAACUAGAUAAAUAAUAAUAAAUUAUAAAUAAAUUAUUAUUUAAAUAUUUAUUAAUUUAAUAAUUAAAUAAUUAAUUAGUCGAUUAUUUAAAUAUUUCGGAAUAAUCCGUUAAGAGGAGAAUAGUAGUUCUUGGCAAUUUUUAACACGGUUUGAAAGAAUAAAAGGAAUAAAUCCCUUAUUCUUUCUUUAUCCUUUGAACCAAGCAUAGCUUUAGAAAUCAAAUUUUAUAUUUUUUCGACAUCAUUUACAUUACAAUCAAAAGAUCUCAAAAUUGAUAAUUUUAAACAGCUGGUAUUAGACAUUUGCUCUUUUAACGAUGUAAAAGAAUCGGAAUUGAUUACAUUUUUACAGAAAAUUUUAUUUACUAUCUAGAUAAAGAUUAAUAACUCAGAUCUUAAAUUGAAAGAUCCGAUCAUCCUUUUUUAGGAGGUCGUUCAAAUUUGAUUAUUCAUUUUAUGCCCACUUAAUGGACUUUAUUAUGAUUUCGAAAAAUUACGAAAUUUAUUUUUUAGAAAUUUCAAAUGCUCUAAAUUUAUUUUCUAGAAAUUUCAAAUGUUUUAGGUCAUAUUUAACGGUGUGGAUCGUCGAUUCGGAAGCUUCAUCAUUGAAAAUAAUUUAUGAGGACAAAGAGUUUCAUACUCAUAAGAGUAUAGUAGCCCUACUCUCUCUCUCUCUCUCUCUCUCUCUCUCUCUCUCUCUAUAUAUAUAUAUAUAUAUAACUAGGCUGAAAUGCUAUCAAUAGCACCAAGUUAUUGGUGCUAUUAGGUUUUCGACCCUUGGAUGAAGAAAUGUACGGUUAAGAUGAUGUGGGCCCUCUAAGGUUGAGUAAAUUAUUGGUUGAAUUGUAUAAUCUAACGGGUAAAAAUAGUCAAAGAAAACUCGGUAGCACCAAGUGCUUGGUGCUAUCAAUAGUAUCCCAGCCGAACUCUAUAUAUAUAUGAAUUAGGCUGGAAUACUAUUAAUAGUAAAACACUUUUUUUGCUAUCAAGUUUUUAACCCUUGGAUGAAAAAUUGUAGGGUCAUGAUGAUAUUAGUCGGUUAGAGUUGAGUGGUCCCCCUAGGGUUGAGUGGUCUCCACUGGGUUAUAGUAUUUAAUCAAAUGGUUAGAAAUAAUGAAAAGAGUUGAUCCAAAGGCUAAAAAACUGGUAGCAACAAUGAGAUUUUGCUACUAAUAGUAGCCCAGUCCAACUAAUAUAUAUAUAUAUAUAUGUAUAUAUAUAUAUAUUGUUAUUUAUAUGUCAGAAAGUUAAUCUGAUGACACUAACUUAAAGAUAUUUAUAUUUAUGUCUAUUGUUUAGCGGUGCAAUAUUGACAUUAAUCGUUCACAAGAUCUUUAUUUGAGAAGAUAUAUUCCUAAGAGUUAUAAAUUUGAUUUAUGUAUUUCUUUGUACAAAACUCCUUAAAUACUACUAACCAGAGGAAUAUUAUAGAGACGGUGAUAUUCUAGAUAGACCGAUGUAUGUGAUAUUGCUUAUUGAAUGACGAAUCUUAAGUCACUAGUAUAGGAGCACUAGAGCAAGCAUACAAGUGCUCGUUACAGAACAAAUAUGCUGAGCGCGACCAUUUAGUUGAACAGUCACACGAGUCCAUACUUGCCAAGUUCAUUGUUGUAGUUGUAUGAAGUACUCAUCAGACCUGAGGCAUUAUGGUUGCUGCAUGUAUGAACAGUCGCACAGGCCGAUCCAUCGUCGAUGGCAAGUUGGAUGCUAUUAUUGUCAGGUAGUUUCUGAAAUCUACAAUUUGCAGAAGUUGCACUAAAUCUUUUGUUAACAUUUUGUUCAUGACCAAAUUUUUAUGCAAUUCUAUGAUAAUUCAGUUCACAAGGAGACAUAAGAUUAACUCUAUAACUAACUACCUUUGCCUAAAGAAAAGGAAAUGACAAAGAUAGUAACUGAUUACUCAACUCCAACACUUCUACUUGACAUAUGUAACUCAUCACACAUUACUCAUUAUUUAAGUUGCAGUAUUUUUAAAUUUUGUUAUGAAUCAUUUCUGGGCCAGCAAAGAGACUUUAAGUGGCGGACAUGCUGUAAAUAGGAAAAGAGCUGAGAAGGGUCUCCCAUUGCUCAAGGUGUGCAUCUUCUUGCCUUUAAAGUUCUCUGUUUACCAACAGUAUGGAGCCGCAAGGGCUAUAAAUCUCGCUCACUUAGCUGAAUUGCUUACAGGUUGAAGUAGUUGAUUUAAUAUCCGGAGAUACGGACGGUGAGAAGCUAAGCUCGACUACGUUGCGAAAGCUUGAGGCCCAGAGAUCCCAGCAGUUGAAUGCCCACGGUGAUGCAUAAAAAUGGUUACGAAAGGGAACGAAUCAAGCCUUGUAUCAAUUGUACACUUAUCCUAUACGAAUCUCCACGAAUUAUUUACACUUAUAAUCACGAGCAGAUGCCGUCGGUGGCUUCUGUGGCGUCAGAAGCUGUUAGGGGCAGCCCUCUACUUCUUCAAAGGCUAGAAUUGGGAAGGCCAGGGCAAGUUCUGAUCUUCGGCUUCUGAAUAUUUACAUGUUCAAUCUUGUAAACUGCCGUUUUUGUGUUCUCCCUCUCUUUCUGAGAGACACUCUUCUCAUCAAAAUGGUUCUUCUAUUUGUACUUUUUUUGUUUCUUGUUUCUCUCGACACUUACAUAACAACACCUGUUGUGAUUAAUUUAUACAUUGCAAAAUGUUUUUGGGGAAUGAAUUAUUAAAGGCUUGCGUUUUAAGUUAAAUUGUAAAGAUGCCCAACUAAACAAAAGAGCUCAGCUUCUGCGGAGGGAAAAGAAUUAGGACUUGUUUGGAUGCAUAAACAUUAUAUUUAGUGUGUGUAUUUUUGUUAAUAUCGUUUGUUUGUUUGAAGGGUAUGUGGUAGUUGUUAAUGAGGUGUGAACAAAAUUAUGUUUGAAUGAAAUAUAGAUUAGAUUUGUACAAUGAAAUUACAAUAAGUUAAUAAUGUUUAUUAUGAUUGAAGAGUGGGUGAUGGGCCAGUUGGCUAGCGCGUAGGUCUCAUAGUUUGUUUGAGUGAUCCUGAUGGUCGACGGUUCGAGCCUUCUCACCCCACAGUUCUUUUUUAUAGUUACCGAAUAUAAUAAUUCCCCCCACCCAGGUUAGUACAUUCCUACAUAGAAGAAGAAAAAAAAAAAAAAAAAAAAAUCCUGUAUUUAGGGAUUCAUAAGCUUAACCAUCCUUCUUCUUGUAUUUUCAACAUAAAAACAGAGUUGUAAACUAGAAUAUCAUAAUCAUCUACUCAUACAUAAGUAAUAGCAGUUAAAUUUAUAACUAUUACUACAAACCACACACAGGCAAAUCUUACAUUAAAAUUCGAUAAAACAAAAUAAACUUUUGCUUGUAGCAACAUCUCUUCUUUUGGCCUCCACUUUUAGGCCUUAUUUCAAUGCUUGGACAUAAGCCUUUCUUCAGUUCCGUCCUCUGAUCUCCCUCAAGCUCAUCUCAACCUCGCCGUCCUCCCCGGUCUCAUUGUAGAACCCCCAUCUUCCACCUCCAUACAACCGCGCUCCUCGUCCGCGAGUUCACCCGCAGCAUCCCUAGUUUCCUGCGGCAUUUUCGGUCCUCUUGCGCCAAAAGGGCCGAGCGUGUAUGGACAUAAUUUGCUGUGUACCAGCAUCAGGUUGGAGGCACACUGUGUGUUUCGACUCGACACCGCCCAGAGUUACGCAGGUUUCUUGCUUCGGGCAGUGAAGGCCGUGCCAGUCGUCUGCUAUUUUGAAGACGAGAUACGCAGCAUAUGCAGUUUUCGGGGAGAGCGCGCUGCUUCCAAUCCUGCCAACAAUCUCCAACCAGCACACGUCGAGUAGCUCAGCAACCUCCCCAAACCUGAUAAAAAAUAGAAGAGUUUCACAGUAUAGUUGGCAUUGCAUUCGUGUGGCUUCUUUUCUUAGUAUGGAAGCCACAACACACUUUUCACAUCUCAAUUACUGCUACAUUUUCAACUACUGCAAAUAAGUCCUAAGAUGUCGGCGACGGUAGAUAAGAAUUUUCGAUCUGGGGUUCAACUACUGCAGAUAACUUGUAACGAAUAGGUUGACAACAAAAGAUAAGGACUUUCGAUCUGGACUAACUUGAGGCUGGGACCAAUACCUGGGAAUGCACCUUAGAUUGUAGUUGUUAAUUCGUAACCAAAAUAGAAAGAAGCAAAACUUUUUAAAAAAAAGCCAGUGUAUUUGCAAGUUAAUGCGUGUCGAAGUAGAAAACAACUCGAUCAGAGCAUUUCAAAACCUUAGGCUCCUAUUUUUUAUGCAAUUUUUCAUAUGUGUUGCUUGUUUCUCAUGCUUCGGUGCACGGACGCAGCAAAAACUAUACCCGCUAUAUUCUAUGUAGGAUUGGUGGUCAAAUGUAUAACUUAGUGCUAGAUAUAAAUUUUACUUUAGGACAGUGCACUACACCUAACAACAUAAGAGGUAACUUAUCACGAGCAAAUGCGCAACUGAAUCAAUAUAGUUGUUCAUAGUAUAUGGUGUAGUCAUUUAUUAUGCUAUUCGACAAUCGACAAACAAAUGAUCCUUGCGCAAAAAUGGAGAGAGGAUUCGAGAAGGCGCAAACCUUGCAUCAGGAAUGCGAUUCCACGCCCAAUAUUCGGGAGUAUCGCCCCAUGCAAUCGACAGAGCUCUCGCCAACAGCAUAUAACACUUUGCUCCGCUCGAUUUGUCCAACCAAAAGCUCUGCGAUCACCACCACCAAUUCACCAAAUCUUUAGAUCAAAUAUAACAGGAAAAUUUGCAACAGCAUUAUAUAUAUGAAUAUAUCUGACGUUGCCGGAGUUACAAUCUCUUUUUCAGAGACUAGUUAACUCAUAACUAACUUUAUUUGCUAUUAGCCAUUAACUAUUAAAUUUAAGUAAACAAUUAUUGAUCGUAAUAAGUAAGUUUAUUUGAUGAAAAUCAUAUACCAGUCUAAAAAUAAAUAAAAAAGUUCAAAAGUUAAAAAGAAGAAGAAGAAGAAGAAGAAGAAGAAGAAGAAAAUACGAUGGGGGUGGGCGCGUGGAGGAGGAGGAGGGGGUGGUGGCAGAGGCGGAAGAAGAGGUCCUUCUUGGAGGAGCAGCCGAGAUCGACGGCGGCGGCGGCGGCGGCGCGGGAGAGGAUGGAGGGGAAGUCGGGCGGGAGGAAGCGCUGCCAGACGGCGUCGGAGGCGGCGGCGGAGCGGAAGGCGGCCGACACCACCGACAGCCGGCAGGCGUCGCGUGGGCUCGUCAGCGAGAUCACGUGCGCGAUGCACCCCUCCGGCACCCUGCUGAACUCCCCCACGCCCACGCCCUCCUCCAUUUCAUGACUCUCUUUUUCUUCUCCUUUUCUUUUUCUUUUUCUUUUUUUUGGGGGGGAUUGUUGUUGUUGUGCGGAUCUGUGUGCGUGUUUUCUACUUUCUAGUUCUGAAAAGGGAACGAGAGGAGGAGGAGAAGCGAUGAAGGAGAACACGAGGCGAGGGACACGAAGCUUAUCAUCUAAGUAGUUAGUAAUGUUUAUUACGAUCGAAGCGUGGGGUGGUGGCGCAGUUGGCUAGCGCGUAGGUCUCAUAGCUUGUUGAGUGUGAUCCUGAGGUCGAGAGUUCGAGCCUCUCUCACCCCACAGUUCUUUUUUGUACCGAAUACAAUAAUAAAUUAUUUAAGGUAAAAUUUUAAAUUUUUUUUAAAAGUUUAUCACCUCAACAAUUUACCUGCUAAAAACCUUUUGCCCCCCAGGUAGUACAUUCUUUCCUACGAGAAAAAAAAAAAAAAAGAAAAAAAAAAAAAAAAAAAAAAUCCUUAUUGUGUGGAUUCAAUAAGCCUUCUACCACUUCGUCUUGUUAUGUCAACAUAAACAGAAGUGUAACUAGAAUGUUCCAACUCAUCUUCAUACAUAAAAAUAAGUAAUAAGUUCCAACUUUACACUCAUUCUACAAAAGCCACAAACAGGCAACUUUAAUUAAAUUCGAAAAGACAAAACAAACUUUGCCAUAGAGUUAGCAACACUUUUUAUGAGCUCUAAUCUCAGGCCUUAUUUUCAAUGCCUUGGGACAAUUAGCCCUUCUUCCAGUUCCCUCCUCUGAUCUCCCUCAAGCAUCUCAACCGUCACCUCCUCCCCGGUUCGUUGUUAGAACUCCCAUCUCCACCUCCAUCCAACCGUCGCUCUCUAUCCGCGGAAUAUCACCGCAUCCAUAGUUUCUGCCGGCAUCUUUUCGCUCCUCUGAGGCCUAAAGCGCGGAAGCACUAACACGCAUAAUAUUGCUGUGUACCAGCAUUCAGUUGGAGGACACUGUGAUGUUUCGAGUCGACACCGCCCUAGAGUUACGCAGUUUCUUGCUUCGGGCAGUGAAGGCGUGCAGUCGUCUGCUAUGGAAGACGAGAAUACGCAGCAUAUGCCGUCUUCGGGAGACGCGCUGCUCCAUCCUGCCGACCAAUCUCCAACCAGCACACGUCGAUAGCUCAAAGCAAUCUCCCCAAACCUGAUAAAAAAUAGAAGAGUUUCACAGUAUAGUUGGCAUUGAUUCGUGUGGCUUCUUUUCUUAGUGUAUGAACGCACAAACACACUUUUCAAUUCUCAAUUACUGCUACAUUUUCAAACUACUGCAAAUAAGUCCUAAAAUGUCGGCGACAGAUAGAUAACGAAUUUUAUCGAUCUGGUUCAACUACUGCAGAUAACUCUGUAACGAGUAGGUGAUGAAACAAAAGAUAAGGCUUCUCGAAAGCUCGGCUGGAAUACCGGAAUGCCUUAGAUGUAGUUGUUAUUCGUAACCAAAAUAGAAAGAAGCAAAACUUUUAAAAAAAAGGCGAGGUGUAUUUGCAAGUUAAUCGUGUCGAAAGUAGAAAACAACUGCGAUCAGAGCAUUUCAAAACCUUAGGCAUCUAUUUUUUAUGCAAUUUUCAUAUGUGUGCUGUGUUUCUCAUGCUUCGGUGCGCGGACGUCGCAAAACUAUACCCGCUAUAUUUUUUGUAGGAUUGGUGUGUUCAAGAUGUUAACUUGGUGCGUAGUAUAUAUUUUACUUUAGGACAGUGACAUACACCUAGCUACUAAGAAGGUAACUAGUCAGAGCCAACAUGCGCAACUGAAAUCAAUUUAGUUUUCUAGUAUAUCAGUGUAGUUAUUAUUAUGCUAUUCAGCAAUCACAAACAAAUGAUCUUGCGCAAAAAUGGAGAGAGAUUCGAAAGGCGCAAACCUGCAUGCAGGAGAUGCGAUCACAAACCCAAUAUUGCGGAGUAUCGCCCCAUGUAUCGAAGAGCUCUCGCCGACAGCAUAUAACACUUUGCUCCGCUCGAUUUGUCCAACCAAAAGCUCUGCGAUCACCACCACCAAUUCACCAAAUCUUUAGAUCAAAUAUAACAGGAAAAUUUGGAACAGCACUGUAUAUAUUGUUAAAGAUAUGCCUUCUUUUUUAUUGGUUUGAUCCAUACACCGGAUUUACGGAAUAUAUUAAUUCUUAAAGUUGAUUCACGUUGGUGUAAGAGAUGAGACUGAAUCUAAUUAAUAUUGGGAUUGCAUGCAUCAAAAUCAUAUUCGGUUUAUACUUCUCAAACCGACUCCAAUUAACAUUGGUUGACUUUGACCGGAUUAAUUAGCACUAUAUAUUCAUGCUGGGGUGAACCGUACGAUGCAUCAUGUGGUAGAAAACGUCAUGUGGUAGAAAAUUAAUUAGUAUCGGGCUAAUUAAUUCACAGCUUCCUAUAGCCGUACGGUAGCAAGAGAAGGAGAUGCGCGGUAGCACGCAUGCGACGGAUUGACGUUGGCGGCGGAGCGGCGGUUCUCAACCAAUUACCAAGAAAUUUGGUUAGAGUUUCUAUACUUCUCUAAUUUGGUCUUCUCGGUUUUACGAAAAGCUUUUUCGGUAUUUUUUUGGAGUUUUCGUUGGAACAAGAAAGGUGGGAUUCACCAUAAGAUUCUUGAUUUUUUAUCCGGAAAAGACAUAAGGUGUAAGGUUGUACUUCUAUUUUCUUCAUAUUGUGGAAUACAUCUCUCUCGCUCUUCCCGUGGACGUAGACAAUUGCCGAACCACGUAAAUCUUGAUUUCUUCUUUCUGCAUUUAUUUCUUUUACCGUUCGGUCGAUUUUUUUUAUUUUUCGUGCAUCUUUGUUGGUAGCACACGACGGACGAUCCAUCCGGUUCCCAACAUAUAUGAAUAUAUCUGACGUUGCCGGAGUUACAAUCUCUUUUGCAGAGACUAGUUAACUCAUAACUAACUUUAUUUGCUAUUAGCCAUUAACUAUUAAAUUUAAGUAAACAAUUAUUGAUCGUAAUAAGUAAGUUUAUUUGAUGAAAAUCAUAUACCACUCUAAAAAUAAAUAAAUAAAUUCAAAAGUUAAAAAGAAGAAGAAGAAGAAAAUACGAUGGGGGUGGGCGCGUGGAGGAGGAGGAGGGGGUGGUGGCAGAGGCGGAAGAAGAGGUCCUUCUUGGAGGAGCAGCCGAGAUCGACGGCGGCGGCGGCGCGGGACAGGAUGGAGGGGAAGUCGGGCGGGAGGAAGCGCUGCCAGACGGCGUCGGAGGCGGCGGCGGACACCACCGACAGCCGGCAGGCGUCCCGUGGGCUCGUCAGCGAGAUCACGUGCGCGAUGCACCCCUCCGGCACCCUGCUGAACUCCCCCACGCCCUCCUCCAUUUCAUGACUCUCUUUUUCUUUCUCCUUUUCUUUUUCUUUUUCUUUCUAGUUCUGAAAAGGGAACGAGAGGUAGAGAGGCGAUGAAGGAGAACACGAGGCGAGGGACACGAAGCUUAACAUCUAAGCAGUUAAUUACUUAAUUAAUUACUUAAUUAAGAGAGUCGCUGUCGCUGGACGAGUGAAAGGGCCAAUAGUAUCUUUACUCACAGAAUAAUGGUGCGGGCCUCCAGAAUACACACACACACGAAAAAACGGGCCUAUAUAUGAUGGAUUAGAAAGAGCAUCGCUAUUUGCUUAUUAUAGAAUUCCAACCCAAAAUAGAUUAUAAUUCUAGAUCACACUAUUGAAAAUUCGAAGCCUAAUUAAUUUAUACUUUUAGUAUCAUUGAUUAAAAUUUUAAUAGUUGAUACUUAAGUUACUGAGUUCGAAUUCUAAUUAUAUUACAUUUUUGGCUGAGUUCAAAUCUAACAAAUGAAUAAAAAAACGGAUAAUUUAUUAUUUUUCUCUCAAACAAAAAAGUUUACCUUUUUACAACAAGUCUUAUUUAUUCGUAGAUGAUGGAUCGUAGAAAUUAUGCUCUUUUUUGCAUUUCUCGAUAACAAAUUUUGAACAUCCAUAACUAACAAAAGGACCAAGAGGACCAGUGGCUCUUGAUCCGUUGAUUAUUACAACUAAUUGAUGUUUAUAGUAUAAAUUUUAUAUAUAUAAGACAUAUUUACAUUGGUUGUGAUGUGUGGGAAAAAUGGGUCCAGAAAAUAAAGCUUUGCUACGAAUUCUAUAUCAUCACGCUUGCACUACGUCAUCAAUAACAAGUCAAUCAUCUUUCUUUUUUCAAACAAAAGUAUAAUAAAAAUACUUUUUUAUAAUCAAGAUGGAACAUAUAUCUCUAAAAAGAGAUUUUUGAUUGAUUUGUUACACCACAUCACCAUUCU